rnacentral:rRNA from 1 species
UACAGAGGUCUCAAGCGUUGUUCGGAUUCAUUGGGCGUAAAGGGCGCGUAGGCGGGCUGGUAAGUCAGGGUGAAAGCCCACGGCCCAACCGGUGGAAGUGCCUUUGAUAACUGCCGGCCUCGAGGGAGGUAGGGGGCGUGCGGAACUUCCGGUGGAGCGGUGAAAUGCGUAGAUAUCGGAAGGAACACCCGGUGGCGAAAGCGGCGCGCUGGACCUCUUCUGACGCGUGAGGCGCGAAAGCCAGGGGAGCAAAGCGGG